UACAGAGGUCUCAAGCGUUAAUCGGAGUCACUGGGCUUAAAGGGUGCGUAGGCGGACUCGCAAGUGCUUUGUGAAAUCCCACGGCUCGACCGUGGAAUUGCUUGGCAGACUGCGGGUCUUGAGGUUGGUAGGGGUCGCCGGAACUCUAGGUGGAGCGGUGAAAUGCGUAGAUAUCUAGAGGAACGCCAAAGGUGAAGACAGGCGACUGGGCCAAUUCUGACGCUGAGGCACGAAAGCGUGGGUAGCGAACGGG
rnacentral:rRNA from 1 species